CGACUGCGCUCCUCCAUGUUAUAUGUGUAAAGGACUUGAGCGUCUGUGGAUUUUGUGUAUGUGUGAAUGUAUGUGUGUACACAUGAGUGUGUAUAAAUGCAUGGGAGCAGUUUUCGAGUGUAUACCCUCUCAACGGUUAAGUGUCUGACUCUGUGAAGAAAAGAAAGACUGGAGCAAGAAAUAUUUAAAUGAGAGAGACAAUCGUUGGGGAUAUUUACUGAAAAAUCCUGGAAGACACAACACAGAAGAUACUGGUCUUUUGGGACACCUAACCCAGUGGCCCAGACUGUAAAGAGUCUGCCUGCAGUGCGGGAGACCUGGGUUCAAUCCCUGGCUCAGGAAUAUUCCCCUGGAGAAUGGAAUGGCAACCCACUCCAGUAUUCUUGCUGAGAUAAUCCCAUGGACAGACGAACCUGGUGGGCUAUAAUCCACGGGGUUGCAGAGCCGGACAUGACUGAGCAACUAGAAAGUGUAAAAGAGUGUAACCUGCCAGGACUAAAACGCCACCUCCAGAUACCUGCUCCUGCCCUUUCGGUUCUCAGCGCAGAGUGGAAGGCAAGCACACGCUCCUUGGAAUGAAGGACAGAUUCCCAGAGAGGAGCUGUGACAUCAGAGGACACCAUGCUAUCAGACUGUCUUCACAACGAGCCAGGCCAGCCUUGGGAAGGGCCCCCAAUGCACAGCUCUACCUGCAAAAAGUGAAACUGCCCCUUUAUCUCAGGCUUACCCAAACUAGAUGUUUAAAAAAUCUGUUAUAUAAGCAAUUAAAAUAUGCUGUCUCAAUUAUAAAUAAAAUAAGGAAACAGAUCAUGUCUCUCUUCCUUGUUGUUGUUGUUGUUUAGUCAUUGCUGUUGUUAGUCAUUAAGCCACGUAC
ensembl:lncRNA